rnacentral:rRNA from 1 species
GAUGAACGCUAGCAGCAGGCUUAAUACAUGCAAGUCGAGGGGCAGCAUGGUGUAGCAAUACACUGAUGGCGACCGGCAAACGGGUGCGGAACACGUACGCAACCUUCCCAAAACUGGUGAAUAGCCCUCCGAAAGGAGGAUUAAUACACCGUAACAUAAUGAAAUGGCAUCAUUUUAUUAUUAUAACUCCGGUGGUUUUGGAUGGGCGUGCGACUGAUUAGGUAGUUGGCGGGGUAACGGCCCACCGAGCCUGCGAUCAGUAACUGGUUGGAGGGCACGACCAGUCACACGGGCAGUGAGACACGGGCCCGACUCCUACGGGAGGCAGCAGUAAGGAAUAUUGGUCAAUGGACGAAAGUCUGAACCAGCCAUGCCGCGUGAAGGAUGAAGGUACUCUGGAUUGUAAACUUCUUUUAUAGGGGACGAAAAAAGGGAAUUCUUUCUCACUUGACGGUACCCUAGGAAUAAGCACCGGCUAACUCCGUGCCAGCCGCCGCCGUAACAC